ACUGUUUCGUCCUACUCUGGAUUGUUUCAUUCCUCAAAUAGCCACUGUACACGGUCUUUCCCAAGAAAGUUCACUCAGAGUGAGGGUUUUACCCCACUCUCAUAAACAAACAGACCCCGAGCAAGUUAAAGACUUCUCCUUUCCCGAAGAGCUGAACACGACGGUAUGAAACAGCUUUUCCAACCAACAUUCAAGGCUGCGACACCUUCGGUAGAAGAUAAGUCUCUGAAAAAAAUCUCGUGCCUAAU